GAUGAGAGAAGAGACAGAAUGAGAGAAGAGAGAGAGAGAGAAAGAGAGAGAGAGAGAGAGAGAGUACUAUAUAUGUAUUGGAUAGGAACUUGAGAAGUAUGAAUGUAAGAGUUUUUAAGCAACUUUCUUCUCCUUUAAACCCAUUUAAUUCAGGGAGUUCCAACUCUGCAACUUUGUAUCUUUUAUUCAUCAGCCCUUCAUGGAGCAUAUAUGAUAUUUCAUGGUAGAAUAUGACGUUA